rnacentral:misc_RNA from 1 species
UCCGGGUUUAUCCCAGCCUCCCUAGAAUAUUCAACUAAGGACAGGGGUUGCGCUCGUUGCGGGACUUAACCCAACACCUCACGGCACGAGCUGACGACAGCCAUGUACCACCUGCGCAGAAGUCCCUUGCGGGAGGUGCUCACUUUCGUGAGCAUUUCCUCUGCAUGUCAAGCCCAGGUAAGGUUGUUCGCGUUGCGUCGAAUUAAACCACAUGCUCCACCGCUUGUGCGGGCCCCCGUCAAUUCCUUUGAGUUUCAGCCUUGCGGCCGUACUCCCCAGGCGGGACACUUACUGCGUUAGCGACGGCACCGAGGGGGUCGCUCCCCCCGACGCCUAGUGUCCAUCGUUUACGGCGUGGACUAC